AUGGCCUCAUCGCUCAUGUCGAUCCCGGAUCACCUCAAGUCGGAGAUCUUCGUCCGGCUGCCAGAACCAGAAGAUCUCGCCCGCACAGCUGCCACCUGCGUCACCUUCCGCAGAGUCGUAGCCGACGGAUCCUUCCGCCGCCGCUUCCGCCUCCUCCACGCCCCGCCCCUCCUCGGCAUCCUCGACCGCGACGGCUUUCAUCCCGCCCUCCCGCCUCACCCCUCAGCGCCCGCCGCCAGCGCGCUCGCCCACGCCGCCGACUUCUCCCUCUCCUUCCUCCCCUCCCACCGCCGCUGGGCCGUGCAGGACGUCCGCGACGGCCGCGUCCUCCACGCCGCCAACCCUGAACCCCAAGUGUUCACGGAGCUCGUGGUGUGUGACCCUUUGCACAGCCGACACAUCCUUCUUCCCCAAAUACCUCAUGACCUAGCCGCUUCACUGGAGUUUCCAGUCCGCUGCCAGCUUUUAAUAGCUUCCCCCGGAGCAGGCGUGAACGAGGCAGCUGCAGCCAUGGAAGAGGCAGCAAGGGCAUUCAUAGUGGUCAUGAUAGCACAUUGCGAAACUGGUCCGGCUGCCUUCGUCUUCUCUUCGAGCACCCGACAAUGGCGAGCCGCUGCAUCCAAGGGUUGGGAUGAUUUGUUCCCCAACCAGGAAGAGUCAACCAUGAUCUCAUCAAUGCACAGAAAGUUGGUCGGGUGCCAUUACGCUUAUGGCUGCUUUUAUUUGGAGUCCACAAUGAAUAAGAAGUUGCUUGUGUUCGACACCCGGAGGAUGGAGUUCUCCAGCCUCGACGUCCCACGCGAAACAUCGAACAUGUUUGGUCUAGCCAUUGUGGAGGCAGGAGAAGGCAGGCUCGGGAUGUUGGAUAUCCAUGAUGAAACUUUAGGUGGCAAAUGUGAUCUCUGUUAUUACAUUAGAGGAAACAAAGGUGAGAGUUCUAGCCAGUGGAAGAUCGAGAAGACAAUCUCACUACCUUAUGAUUAUCAGUACUAUAUCCAAGCUUCAACUGAGAGGUACUUGCUCCUAAGGAAGCUUGGACCCCUGCAGUCCAUAAGCUCAUCUCUGGAGGUGGAAUAUGUCUCAAUGGACGUCAAGACAUUGCAGCUUGAGAAGGUUUGUGGUGUAUCUUUCGGGUUUAGCUUGGCCAGCGCCCGCAUAUAUACCAGCUUCCCACCAUCCUUGUUGUCUGCACCGACAAUAUGA
rnacentral:rRNA from 1 species